CCCUUAGAUGUUCUGGGCCGCACGCGCGCUACACUGACUGGUGCAACAAGUGUCGCUCCUUGGCCGAUAGGCCUGGGCAAUCUUUGAACGCCAGUCGUGAUGGGGAUAGAUUCUUGCAAUUUUUGAUCUUCAACGAGGAAUUCCUAGUAAACGCGAGUCAUCAACUCGCAUUGAUUACGUCCCUGCCCUUUGUACACACCGCCCGUCGCACCUACCGAUUGAAUGGUCCGGUGAAAUCUCGGGACGGCGGCUUGGUCGCUUGCGUCCGACUGCUGAAACUUGAUUAAACCAUAUCAUUUAGAGGAAGGUGAANUCGUAACA
rnacentral:rRNA from 1 species